UACGAAGGGGGCUAGCGUUGCUCGGAAUCACUGGGCGUAAAGCGCACGUAGGCGGAUUGUUAAGUCAGGGGUGAAAUCCUGGAGCUCAACUCCAGAACUGCCUUUGAUACUGGCGAUCUCGAGUCCGGGAGAGGUGAGUGGAACUGCGAGUGUAGAGGUGAAAUUCGUAGAUAUUCGCAAGAACACCAGUGGCGAAGGCGGCUCACCUGGCCCGGUACUGACGCUGAGGUGCGAAAGCCGUGGGGAGCGACGAGGAAUUGAUA
rnacentral:rRNA from 1 species